rnacentral:lncRNA from 1 species
AGAAAAACAGGGCCAUAUUUUUCAUAUUGAAACUUAUGACCAAACUUUUAUACAAAACACAAACCAGAGUACUUCACAACUUUUUACUCUGUCUCUAUUCACAUUAAAAAGGAGAUCUCAAAAAAAGAUAGAAUCUCAGUCCAUCCGCGCCGUACUCAAGGCCCCUCUCGGGAUUAUCUUCUUCUCCCAAAAAUCCUUCUCCUUAAGUUUCACUGCAGAGUACUCCUUCUCAGAUUCCUCCUCAGCUCGUCAACGGGAUCCUGAAAUGAUUUUCCCCAAACUGGGAUGAGACUACAUCUCAGCGAGUUCUACCCCACUAAGGCCCGAUUAAUAAACCAUUAUACUAUAGGCUGCCUAAACACGCAUAGGGCAGAGGACUUACCUUAGCCUCAUAUCCCACUUGCAAGUCAAUACAAUUCACAAUAGGCACCCAUUUACUACAAACAAAUCGAACCAGUCAAUUACAUGUCACGCAAAUCAUUCCCCACGGAGGAAUAUCUAAAAGUUAGGCCACGUGCAUUCUUCAAGACGACAUUCCAAGUCUCCCAGCCAUGUGCCUCGAACCUUGGGCCCACGUGCAUUCUCUAAGGCAACCUCUUCGCCAAGGUGGUACAUCAAGUCACCGAGCCACGUGCCCUUUUUGAUGCUAUUCUCGAAAACUGAACCCACGUGCAUUCUCUAAGGCAUUAGUUCACCAAAGUGACGCAUCAGAUCACCGAGCCACAUGUCAUUUUAGAUGCCGUUCUCAAACACUGGACCCACGUGCAUUCUCUAAGGUACUCGCUUACCAAAGUGACGCAUCAGAUCACCGAGCCACGUGUCCUUUUUAAGAUGCCCGGGCCCACGUGCCUUCUCUUAGGUGCUAUCUCAUCAAAGUGAUGCAUCAAUUCACCAAGCCACGUGCCUUUUUAGAUGCCAAACUCUGUCACCGAGCCACGUGCAUUCUCCAGGAGGACAUACCGAGUCUCCAAGCCACGUGCAUUCUCUCACGCAACCUCUUCGCCAAGAUGACAUAUUCAACCACUGAACUCACGUGCAUUCUCCAGGUGAUAUUCCAAUUCACCGAGCCCACAUAUUUUCUUUUAGGUGAUAACCAUUACCCAACGAUUUCUCAAUUAAAUAAUUAACAAUCAACUCUAUAUGAAUAACUCCUAAAAAUUCAUAAUUAAAUCAAUUCCAUACAAAUUGCAGCUCAAUUAAAUAAACGGACUGUGUCACGACAAUCGGCACGAGAUUUCGGUCGUCGGCCAUCUAAAUCUUAAUUUCUGAAAAUUAAUUAAUUUCGAAAAUUCAUUAAUAAAUAUUAAAAACUCCAUUUAGCUCAAAAUAAAGCCCAAUUAAAUAAACGGACUUCACCACGGUCACCAGCAUAAAAUUCCGGUCCUAGGCCAUCCCAGUUGAAUUUUUGGAAAAUAAAUAAUUAUUUAAUUUAAUUUCGAAAAAUUAAUACUUAAAUACCAAAAAUUCCACUUAGGCCCGAAAAGCCUAAUUGAAGCCCGAUUAGGGUCGGGAAAAAUCCCGGGCUGCCCUCAAUAAAUAGUAGACCACGUCUACUUGCUAAUUACACAAUUAAUUUGUCUAAUUCGCAUCACAAUUGACUAAUAAACACUAAUCUAUUCUAAUCUAACCACCUAAACCUAAUUAAUUAAAAAUAAACCACCCUUAAGCAUAAUUAGCCAACUAAUCAGGGAUUAGUGAGAUUACUCACCGGAAUCGCGCACAAAUCGGAUCAAUCCGACAUGGGCGACGCGAGGAACAACAAACUCCAAAGUGGGCCUCAGGUUCGAGGCCCGGAAACGGCCCAAAAGCGGCCUAAAGCUGCUGGAAACCCACUUCGUGGGGCUGCUGGUUUGGCCCGGUCGAGACUGAUCCGGCGGCUAAAGCGGCUAGGGGAGGCCGGCGAAUGGUGAAGGGAGCUCCGACGAUCCAAGUGAUGGCCGAAGGUGGUCGGACAACCGUCGGUGGUGGCCAAACAGGGGCUGGGCAAAGGCGAACAGGGCUGUCUCGCGCGGGGAAGAAGCGCCUGGGUGGAGGAGAGGGCAGGCGGCUUAUGGCGGCGAGCAGCGGACGCGGGGGCGUGCGGGCGCGGGCGGCGGGACGGUGGCAAGCAGUGGAGCAUACGGCAAUCCGGCGAGCUCCUCUGGUCUUUGGUCUUCCGCUUCUGUUCGAACCGUGAGGGAGACAAAGAGCGUCGAGAGUGAGAGAGAAAAAGAGAUAAGAGAGAGAAGAGAGAGAGAAGAUGAGGAUUGACCAAUCAAAAUGAAAAGAGAGAGAGAGGGAGAGAAG